GGCUCUCUGGCGUAUUGGUAGCGCUUCAUCGGCCGUUUUUCGGCCGCUCCCAUUCCUCGAUGAAGAGGCCGGUUCAAUCCCGGCGGGAGCCA